rnacentral:rRNA from 1 species
UCCUACGGGAGGCAGCAGUGGGAAAUUUUGGACAAUGGGCGCAAGCCUGAUCCAGCCAUGCCGCGUGAGUGAAGAAGGCCUUCGGUUGUAAAGCUCUUUCGGCCGGGACGAAAUCGCAACUCCUAACAGGGGUGUGGAUGACGGUACCGGAGUAAGAAGCACCGGCUAACUACGUGCCAGCAGCCGCGGU